GGGGUUGUAGCUCAGUGGCAGAGCACUUGCCUCACAUGUAUGAGGCAUUGGGUUCGAUCUCAGCACCA
rnacentral:tRNA from 1 species